rnacentral:lncRNA from 1 species
AAAAAAGGACAAUAACAGAGGUUUAUUUCAUCUAAUUGAGGCAUAGGAAUAUUCCUAUAUGCAUGGUGGCAAUAGAGCAAAGGCAAUCCUUUAUUAAGCUAUUAUAUCGUACUUCAAAUAAUAGUUAGAUUUAUAAAUUGCCUCGAAAUUUUAAGUGCGAACGUUUAUUACAAAAUUGCCGAAGAA